rnacentral:rRNA from 1 species
AACAAGGUUUCCGUAGGUGAACCUGCGGAAGGAUCAUUACUAAGCGAGCCCCCCG